rnacentral:rRNA from 1 species
CCUACGGGAGGCAGCAGUGAGGAAUAUUGGACAAUGGGCGCAAGCCUGAUCCAGCCAUGCCGCGUGCAGGAAGACGGUCCUAUGGAUUGUAAGCUGCUUUUAUACAGGAAGAAACACCUCUACGUGUAGAGACUUGACGGUACUGUAUGAAUAAGCAUCGGCUAACUCCGUGCCAGCAGCCGCGGUAAUACGGAGGAUGCAAGCGUUAUCCGGAAUCAUUGGGUUUAAAGGGUCCGUAGGCGGUUUAAUAAGUCAGUGGUGAAAGCCCAUCGCUCAACGAUGGAACGGCCAUUGAUACUGUUAAACUUGAAUUAUUAGGAAGUAACUAGAAUAUGUAGUGUAGCGGUGAAAUGCUUAGAGAUUACAUGGAAUACCAAUUGCGAAGGCAGGUUACUACUAAUAUAUUGACGCUGAUGGACGAAAGCGUGGGGAGCGAACAGGAUUAGAUACCCUGGUAGUCCACGCCGUAAACGAUGGAUACUAGCUGUUCGGAGCAAUCUGAGUGGCUAAGCGAAAGUGAUAAGUAUCCCACCUGGGGAGUACGUUCGCAAGAAUGAAACUUAAAUGAAUUGACGG